rnacentral:misc_RNA from 1 species
CACCUGAAACCAGAUUCAACAACGUUGGAA